rnacentral:lncRNA from 1 species
AUUGGCUUCUCUGAGCCCUUGCUGCUUCCAGGAGCCAUCUCAAAUCAAGCCUUACUCAAGGUGCUGAAACAUUUUGACAAUCGUUAUGGUAUGUUUCAUUUCCAGCUUGUACAGGAAGCAGACAUUGAAAUCAAAGAAGAAAGUGAUCCUGUUCUUCUUGUAUUUCUGGCUGAGGCUGGAAGUGGAGUGCCAGAAGUCCGCUGUGGCUAAUGUGUUGUACAAAGAAGUCUCUUGUAAGUUCCUUAUAUUGAGAGUCCAGCAGUGCUUUGUCCUUAGGAGAUUCCCAUCUCAACCGGGAGGAGUUAAAGGUCAAGGCCAUAUCUGGACUCAGCAGGCACUAGAAGCACAAUUCAACCACCAAACUGAUGUUUCUUACAAUUCCCUGAAGCAAUAUCACCAAGACAGCCACAGCAUCAUGCACAACGCUCCAGAACUAUAUCUAGAGGCUCACAGAUCGAUGUGGUUACUCCAGAGCUGUGUAAAACCUGAAUCACUAGCUCCAACUUCUUUGCAGAGCUGGAAAAAGAACCCCACUGCUUAG